rnacentral:rRNA from 1 species
CCUACGGGAGGCAGCAGUGAGGAAUAUUGGUCAAUGGGAGAGAUCCUGAACCAGCCAAGCCGCGUGAGGGAAGACGGCCCUAUGGGUUGUAAACCUCUUUUGUCGGAGAACAAAACCCGGGACGUGUCCCGGACUGCGUGUAUCCGAAGAAAAAGCAUCGGCUAACUCCGUGCCAGCAGCCGCGGUAAUACGGAGGAUGCGAGCGUUAUCCGGAUUUAUUGGGUUUAAAGGGUGCGUAGGCGGGACCUUAAGUCAGCGGUAAAAUUGCGGUGCUCAACGCCGUAGAGCCGUUGAAACUGGGGCUCUUGAGUGAGCGAGAAGUAUGCGGAAUGCGUGGUGUAGCGGUGAAAUGCUUAGAUAUGACGAAGAACCCCGAUUGCGAAGGCAGCUUGCUGCAGCGGAACUGACGCUGAUGCUCGAAAGCGCGGGUAUCGAACAGGAUUAGAUACCCCUGUAGUC